AACGAACGCUGGCGGCAGGCUUAACACAUGCAAGUCGAGCGCCCCGCAAGGGGAGCGGCAGACGGGUGGGUAACGCGUGGGAAUCUACCCAUCUCUACGGAAUAACGCAUGGAAACGUGUGCUAAUACCGUAUACGUCCUUCGGGAGAAAGAUUUAUCGGAGAUGGAUGAGCCCGCGUUGGAUUAGCUAGUUGGUGGGGUAAAGGCCUACCAAGGCGACGAUCCAUAGCUGGUCUGAGAGGAUGAUCAGCCACACUGGGACUGAGACACGGCCCAGACUCCUACGGGAGGCAGCAGUGGGGAAUAGUGGACAAUGGGCGCAAGCCUGAUCCAGCCAUGCCGCGUGAGUGAUGAAGGCCCUAGGGUUGUAAAGCUCUUUCACCGGUGAAGAUAAUGACGGUAACCGGAGAAGAAGCCCCGGCUAACUUCGUGCCAGCAGCCGCCGUAAGAC
rnacentral:rRNA from 1 species